rnacentral:rRNA from 1 species
CCUACGGGUGGCAGCAGUGAGGAAUAUUGGUCAAUGGACGAAAGUCUGAACCAGCCAAGUAGCGUGAAGGAUGACUGCCCUAUGGGUUGUAAACUUCUUUUAUAUGGGGAUAAAACGUUCCACGUGUGGGGGUUUGUAUGUACCAUAUGAAUAAGGAUCGGCUAACUCCGUGCCAGCAGCCGCGGUAAUACGGAGGAUCCGAGCGUUAUCCGGAUUUAUUGGGGUUAAAGGGAGCGUAGGUGGGGUGUUAAGUCAGGUGUGAAAGUUGGCGGCUCAACCGUACAAUUGCAGUUGAAACUGGCAGCCUUGAGUACAGUAGAGGUGGGCGGAAUUCGUGGUGUAGCGGUGAAAUGCUUAGAUAUCACGAAGAACUCCGAUUGCGAAGGCAGCUCACCGGGGUGCAACUGACACUGAGGCUCGAAAGUGCGGGUAUCAAACAGGAUUAGAUACCCCUGUAGUC